rnacentral:misc_RNA from 1 species
GAUGAAGAACGUAGUGAAAUGCGAUAAGUAAUGUGAAUUGCAGAAUUCAGUGAAUCAUCGAAUCUUUGAACGCACAUUGCGCCCGCCAGUAUUCUGGCGGGCAUGCCUGUUCGAGCGUCAUUUCAACCAUCAAGCCCCCGGGCUUGUGUUGGGGACCUGCGGCUGCCGCAGGCCCUGAAAAGCAGUGGCGGGCUCGCUGUCACACCGAGCGUAGUAGAUUUUAUCUCGCUCAGGGCGUGCUGCGGGUUCCGGCCGUUAAACCACCUUCAUAACCCAAGGUUGACCUCGGAUCAGGUAGGAAGACCCGCUGAACUUAAGCAUAUCAAUAAGCGGAGGA